rnacentral:rRNA from 1 species
UUCAGCGGCGGACGGGUGAGUAAUGCCUAGGAAUCUGCCUGGUAGUGGGGGACAACGUUUCGAAAGGAACGCUAAUACCGCAUACGUCCUACGGGAGAAAGCAGGGGACCUUCGGGCCUUGCGCUAUCAGAUGAGCCUAGGUCGGAUUAGCUAGUUGGUGGGGUAAUGGCUCACCAAGGCGACGAUCCGUAACUGGUCUGAGAGGAUGAUCAGUCACACUGGAACUGAGACACGGUCCAGACUCCUACGGGAGGCAGCAGUGGGGAAUAUUGGACAAUGGGCGAAAGCCUGAUCCAGCCAUGCCGCGUGUGUGAAGAAGGUCUUCGGAUUGUAAAGCACUUUAAGUUGGGAGGAAGGGCAUUAACCUAAUACGUUAGUGUUUUGACGUUACCGACAGAAUAAGCACCGGCUAACUCUGUGCCAGCAGCCGCGGUAAUACAGAGGGUGCAAGCGUUAAUCGGAAUUACUGGGCGUAAAGCGCGCGUAGGUGGUUUGUUAAGUUGGAUGUGAAAGCCCCGGGCUCAACCUGGGAACUGCAUCCAAAACUGGCAAGCUAGAGUACGGUAGAGGGUGGUGGAAUUUCCUGUGUAGCGGUGAAAUGCGUAGAUAUAGGAAGGAACACCAGUGGCGAAGGCGACCACCUGGACUGAUACUGACACUGAGGUGCG